rnacentral:rRNA from 1 species
AAUAGAUACCCCGGUAGUCCACGCCGUAAACGAUGAGUGCUAAGUGUUAGGGGUUUCCGCCCCUUAGUGCUGCAGCUAACGCAUUAAGCACUCCGCCUGGGGAGUACGGUCGCAAGACUGAAACUCAAAGGAAUUGACGGGGGCCCGCACAAGCGGUGGAGCAUGUGGUUUAAUUCGAAGCAACGCGAAGAACCUUACCAGGUAUUGACAUCCUCUGACAAUCCUAGAGAUAGGACGUCCCCUUCGGGGGCAGAGUGACAGGUGGUGCAUGGUUGUCGUCAGCUCGUGUCGUGAGAUGUUGGGUUAAGUCCCGCAACGAGCGCAACCCUUGAUCUUAGUUGCCAGCAUUCAGUUGGGCACUCUAAGGUGACUGCCGGUGACAAACCGGAGGAAGGUGGGGAUGACGUCAAAUCAUCAUGCCCCUUAUGACCUGGGCUACACACGUGCUACAAUGGACAGAACAAAGGGUAGCGAAACCGCGAGGUUAAGCCAAUCCCACAAAUCUGUUCUCAGUUCGGAUCGCAGU